ACUCUAAGCGGUGGAUCACUCGGCUCAUGGGUCGAUGAAGAACGCAGCAAACUGUGCGUCAUCGUGUGAACUGCAGGACACAUGAACAUCGACAUUUUGAACGCAUAUCGCAGUCCAUGCUGUUAUGUACUUUAAUUAAUUUUAUAGUGCUGCUUGGACUACAUAUGGUUGAGGGUUGUAAGACUAUGCUAAUUAAGUUGCUUAUAAAUUUUUAUAAGCAUAUGGUAUAUUAUUGGAUAAAUAUAAUAAUUUUUAUUCAUAAUAUUAAAAAAUAAAUGAAAAACAUUAUCUCACAUUUGAAUGUGAAAAACGAAGAGAAAUAUUUUCUUUUUCAAUCAAAUAAUACUGAGAAAUGUCUAGCAUAAAAAAUUGAAAUAUUUUUCAUCUAGAAUUGUCUCUUAUUAAUGAUUCGGAAAUAGAAAAAUCUUGGUUAUGUUAUUAUUCUUCGUUGGUUCGUUAAAAAUGGAUAAAUAAAAACUUUGCAUACAAGAAUUAAUAAAAAUGUUAUAACGAAUUUAAUUAAAUGUUUUAUCAUUAUAUAUAAAGAAUUUAUGGCAAGAUAAAGUUAUAUACAACCUCAACUCAUAUGGGACUACCCCCUGAAUUUAAGCAUAUUAAUUAGGGGAGGAAAAGAAACUAACAAGGAUUUUCUUAGUAGCGGCGAGCGAAAAGAAAACAGUUCAGCACUAAGUCACUUUGUCUAUAUGGCAAAUGUGAGAUGCAGUGUAUGGAGCGUCAAUAUUCUAGUAUGAGAAAUUAACGAUUUAAGUCCUUCUUAAAUGAGGCCAUUUACCCAUAGAGGGUGCCAGGCCCGUAUAACGUUAAUGAUUACUAGAUGAUGUUUCCAAAGAGUCGUGUUGCUUGAUAGUGCAGCACUAAGUGGGUGGUAAACUCCAUCUAAAACUAAAUAUAACCAUGAGACCGAUAGUAAACAAGUACCGUGAGGGAAAGUUGAAAAGAACUCUGAAUAGAGAGUUAAACAGUACGUGAAACUGCUUAGAGGUUAAGCCCGAUGAACCUGAAUAUCCGUUAUGGAAAAUUCAUCAUUAAAAUUGUAAUAUUUAAAUAAUAUUAUGAGAAUAGUGUGCAUUUUUUCCAUAUAAGGACAUUGUAAUCUAUUAGCAUAUACCAAAUUUAUCAUAAAAUAUAACUUAUAGUUUAUUCCAAUUAAAUUGCUUGCAUUUUAACACAGAAUAAAUGUUAUUAAUUUGAUAAAGUGCUGAUAGAUUUAUAUGAUUACAGUGCGUUAAUUUUUCGGAAUUAUAUAAUGGCAUAAUUAUCAUUGAUUUUUGUGUUUAUUAUAUGCACUUGUAUGAUUAACAAUGCGAAAGAUUCAGGAUACCUUCGGGACCCGUCUUGAAACACGGACCAAGGAGUCUAACAUAUGUGCAAGUUAUUGGGAUAUAAACCUAAUAGCGUAAUUAACUUGACUAAUAAUGGGAUUAGUUUUUUAGCUAUUUAUAGCUAAUUAACACAAUCCCGGGGCGUUCUAUAUAGUUAUGUAUAAUGUAUAUUUAUAUUAUUUAUGCCUCUAACUGGAACGUACCUUGAGCAUAUAUGCUGUGACCCGAAAGAUGGUGAACUAUACUUGAUCAGGUUGAAGUCAGGGGAAACCCUGAUGGAAGACCGAAACAGUUCUGACGUGCAAAUCGAUUGUCAGAAUUGAGUAUAGGGGCGAAAGACCAAUCGAACCAUCUAGUAGCUGGUUCCUUCCGAAGUUUCCCUCAGGAUAGCUGGUGCAUUUUAAUAUUAUAUAAAAUAAUCUUAUCUGGUAAAGCGAAUGAUUAGAGGCCUUAGGGUCGAAACGAUCUUAACCUAUUCUCAAACUUUAAAUGGGUAAGAACCUUAACUUUCUUGAUAUGAAGUUCAAGGUUAUGAUAUAAUGUGCCCAGUGGGCCACUUUUGGUAAGCAGAACUGGCGCUGUGGGAUGAACCAAACGUAAUGUUACGGUGCCCAAAUUAACAACUCAUGCAGAUACCAUGAAAGGCGUUGGUUGCUUAAAACAGCAGGACGGUGAUCAUGGAAGUCGAAAUCCGCUAAGGAGUGUGUAACAACUCACCUGCCGAAGCAACUAGCCCUUAAAAUGGAUGGCGCUUAAGUUGUAUACCUAUACAUUACCGCUAAAGUAGAUGAUUUAUAUUACUUGUGAUAUAAAUUUUGAAACUUUAGUGAGUAGGAAGGUACAAUGGUAUGCGUAGAAGUGUUUGGCGUAAGCCUGCAUGGAGCUGCCAUUGGUACAGAUCUUGGUGGUAGUAGCAAAUAAUCGAAUGAGACCUUGGAGGACUGAAGUGGAGAAGGGUUUCGUGUGAACAGUGGUUGAUCACGAGUUAGUCGGUCCUAAGUUCAAGGCGAAAGCCGAAAAUUUUCAAGUAAAACAAAAAUGCCUAACUAUAUAAACAAAGCGAAUUAUAAUACACUUGAAUAAUUUUGAACGAAAGGGAAUACGGUUCCAAUUCCGUAACCUGUUGAGUAUCCGUUUGUUAUUAAAUAUGGGCCUCGUGCUCAUCCUGGCAACAGGAACGACCAUAAAGAAGCCGUCGAGAGAUAUCGGAAGAGUUUUCUUUUCUGUUUUAUAGCCGUACUACCAUGGAAGUCUUUCGCAGAGAGAUAUGGUAGAUGGGCUAGAAGAGCAUGACAUAUACUGUUGUGUCGAUAUUUUCUCCUCGGACCUUGAAAAUUUAUGGUGGGGACACGCAAACUUCUCAACAGGCCGUACCAAUAUCCGCAGCUGGUCUCCAAGGUGAAGAGUCUCUAGUCGAUAGAAUAAUGUAGGUAAGGGAAGUCGGCAAAUUAGAUCCGUAACUUCGGGAUAAGGAUUGGCUCUGAAGAUUGAGAUAGUCGGGCUUGAUUGGGAAACAAUAACAUGGUUUAUGUGCUCGUUCUGGGUAAAUAGAGUUUCUAGCAUUUAUGUUAGUUACUUGUUCCCCGGAUAGUUUAGUUACGUAGCCAAUUGUGGAACUUUCUUGCUAAAAUUUUUAAGAAUACUAUUUGGGUUAAACCAAUUAGUUCUUAUUAAUUAUAACGAUUAUCAAUUAACAAUCAAUUCAGAACUGGCACGGACUUGGGGAAUCCGACUGUCUAAUUAAAACAAAGCAUUGUGAUGGCCCUAGCGGGUGUUGACACAAUGUGAUUUCUGCCCAGUGCUCUGAAUGUCAAAGUGAAGAAAUUCAAGUAAGCGCGGGUCAACGGCGGGAGUAACUAUGACUCUCUUAAGGUAGCCAAAUGCCUCGUCAUCUAAUUAGUGACGCGCAUGAAUGGAUUAACGAGAUUCCUACUGUCCCU
rnacentral:rRNA from 1 species